UACGGGGGGGGCAAGCGUUGUUCGGAAUUACUGGGCGUAAAGGGCUCGUAGGCGGCCAUCUAAGUCAUACGUGAAAUCCCUCGGCUUAACCGGGGAACUGCGUCUGAUACUGGAUGGCUUGAGGUUGGGAGAGGGAUGCGGAAUUCCAGGUGUAGCGGUGAAAUGCGUAGAUAUCUGGAGGAACACCGGUGGCGAAGGCGGCAUCCUGGACCAAUUCUGACACUGAGGAGCGAAAGCCAGGGGAGCAAACGGG
rnacentral:rRNA from 1 species